rnacentral:rRNA from 1 species
UGCCAGACUCCUACGGGAGGCAGCAGUGGGGGAUAUUGCACAAUGGGGGGAACCCUGAUGCAGCGACGCCGCGUGGGUGAAGGAGCGUUUCGGCGCGUAAAGCCCUAUCAGCAGGGAAGAAAAUGACGGUACCUGAGUAAGAAGCCCCGGCUAACUACGUGCCAGCAGCCGCGGUAAUACGUAGGGGGCAAGCGUUAUCCGGAUUUACUGGGUGUAAAGGGAGCGUAGACGGCCAGACAAGUCUGAAGUGAAAAUCCAGCGCUUAACGUUGGAAGUGCUUUGGAAACUGCCGGGCUGGAGUGCAGGAGGGGCAGGCGGAAUUCCUAGUGUAGCGGUGAAAUGCGUAGAUAUUAGGAGGAACACCAGUGGCGAAGGCGGCCUGCUGGACUGCAACUGACGUUGAGGCUCGAAGGCGUGGGGAGCAAACAGGAUUAGAUACCCGUGUA